rnacentral:rRNA from 1 species
CAGCAGUAGCCACGGGAAAACAGAGGGUGCAAGCGUUAAUCGGAAUUACUGGGCGUAAAGCGCGCGUAGGUGGUUUGUUAAGUUGGAUGUGAAAUCCCCGGGCUCAACCUGGGAACUGCAUCCAAAACUGGCGAGCUAGAGUAUGGUAGAGGGUGGUGGAAUUUCCUGUGUAGCGGUGAAAUGCGUAGAUAUAGGAAGGAACACCUGUGGCGAAAGCGGCUCACUGGACCAUUACUGUCGCUGAGGCGCGAAAGCUAGGGGAGCAAACAGGAUUAGAUACCCGCGUAGUCCCUGUCUCUUAUAA